GGCGUGGAGAGCUGCUUUCACCUGGCUUUGCCCAGAGCUGCAGGGAGGCCUUGGCAGAGAGCUUGGUGGCGGGUAAUGUGUGUAGCCUGGGGCACGACUUUUACUCAAGUCCAUAUGGCACCGGGGUAAGUCACACCUGUCCUAACCUCUCCAUCGAGGAGGAAUUGGGUGAAAAGGGACUUCAGCUGUAGCAAAGAAGGGGAGACACAAGGACAUCAUGUGUGUGUGUGUGUGGGGGUGUGUGUAUGUGUGUGUGUUUUGGGAAGACUGGAGGAGGGCCGAAGAUGGCACUUACAGGUCCUGGUCUGCGGCACUGUGCCUGGUCUUUGAGGCAGUGUCAAGCCCGUCAAAAUGGGUUCCAAGGCUGACCUCAAAUCCUCAUGCUCUGUAGACAACUAGCCACCAUGCACUCCUCUCCCCACGGAACCGCCUGGGGUGCUGGCACGGGCACGUGGUUGUCUGACAGGGAAACAAGCGUUUCAAGGACGGCGUGGUUGGUUUCACUUUCCUUCAGUGGGAGGAACUGGAGUCGGUUGACCAGCAAGUUGCUGUUGCGUGCCUUUUGUGUGUUCUGCUGGGCUGGGGGCUGUGGGGGAUGCUAAAGAAGUAGAGCAUUGGCCUCCUCUGGAAGACUCAACCUUUGGUUGUGUGACUGCGGGAGUACACACGUUCUAAGGAGUGGCCCAGGAUGCAUCAUGGGUGCCCAGUUCAGAGGACGGAGACCUUAGAGGGGAAAGCAGUUGUAGUCAGGGCAGACUUCAUGGAAGAGGCAGCCCUGAGCUGCUUUUUCAAAGGAGACAGAGGAUUUAGACAGGCAGAGAGAAGUGGGAUAACUUAACAGAGGCAGGAAACUCCUCAAGCCCUGAUGAUCUCUAGCCCUGUAGGGAAGUCACAGCUUUUUUGGCCUGGGUUCAGGAUGAACCUCUAAUGUCAACCUGGACACCGGUCAGCUGAAGACAAAACUGUCACCUUGCGCUCCUCCCUGCCUGUCCUGCUCAUGACAGUCACAACAAGUUUAUAAGCAGCAUUAUCCCCCCAGAGGCAGGCAGGCAGCCAGCCUUUGCCACUGGUGCAGAGAGGAGAUUCAACCAACCGAGGAUCCUGCCAGAACAGGAAACCGUGAGCCGCGUCUGCCUGACUGCAUCCUCUGAGGCACUUUCCCACCCUGUUCCUUGAGAGACGAGCCUUGGCGCGGCACCUGCCUCCCUGUGGAUGUGCAGACGUGGCCUCCGGAAGAUGAGAAAAUGAAGGUCAGAGACAUGAAGUCAUUUUCCCAAGGUCACACAACGAGGAAGUUGCAAAGCUGGAAUUUGAAUCCAGGGUGCUGGUUGACAUGCUCGGGCUCCUAGGCAUUCCAGAGAUUUAUGGAAAAUCCAGAGGAAGGAGGAGGCUAGAGGAUCCUCGAGAUCGGGAACGCUCCUCUACUGGUCUGCAUACUGGAGAGCCCUGGAGUUUUCCAUCUAGACCUGGUCCUGGAAUGCAGGCUUAUUGGCAGUAUUGACUACAGGAUUCAAUUUGGUCCAGCAGGUGCUGGGUAACGGGAAGCCUGCUAAGAGCAGCCGUGUUAACAGUACCCCUCUCGCGAAAGGAUGCUCUAAGAAGGGUGAGAGGAUAGACGGAGAAGAAGAUGAAGAAGAAGAAAAAGGGGGAAAAAACAACAACUUGCACACACAUACACAUCCCUGUGGGCUGCUGCUGCUGCUGCUGCCACGGUGGCUGCUUGGAUGCGUCUAAGAUGGCACCUUGGUGCCCUGCCACAUUCGGUCUCCUUGGUACCGAAGCGGCGCUCAGCUUCUUGUCACUGAGUGGAUGAUGAUUAUCUGUACCAGGGUCUCAAGGGUGCUCAAGCUUUGCUGGCGAUUGGAGCUGAGAUGCUUCAGCUGAAGGAUUUUAAAAGCCGUACAAGGCCAAAGAACCAUUACCAGUCACUUGCUGUGUGAUGCCUGUUGAAGAGGGGGUGGGUGUGGGAAGGAGCGCGCUGGGGGAGCCAGGGAGGGCUAUGAUAUCUUUAUCCCCUCCCCUGUUCUCUGUCUCUCCCCCUCUCCUCCCACCUCUCCACCUCCCCACGCCUUUUUAGCCACUGUACCCUUGCUGAGGCAUGACAAGGUUAUGUCAGUGUGGUCUGAGAAUCUAUUGAUCACGGCCAUCAAAGAUCUUUGUGGCAGUUUAGGGAUUUGGUGCUUUGCAUAACACCCCACUCAUCUGGGUUAACUCCUCCUGUCCCGGCCUGGGCUCCCAUCACCUCAGAGCUGAGCUGUUGGCAAAACUUGCUAAUUUCUCUGACAGCUGCUUUCCAAACUAUACUCAUAAGGCUGUCAAAACCUUUGUAAUUACUGUUACAAGAGAACUCAGGUGCAUGACCCAGGCAGCGAAGAAGCGGGGGGGAUUGGACCAGACACAGCAAGGAAAAAACCCAAAUAUAGAUACUAACCCCCAACACACAUGCACACACGUGUGCAUGUGCACAGAUGCUUGUAUGUGCUUUCCUUGUCUUCCCCUCGAAGGGCCACAGCAGAAAGGCCCUAUAAGCAAAAAAGAUCUUGUCGGUCUCCUACCCAGGUGAUUUUUCUUUUAAUCAGUGAAAAAUAAAAGAAAUGCCAGAAA